UAUAGAAACAACGCUUUGUUUUUGUCGGGUCUCUCUCUCACGACGACAUCAACAGAGGUGGAGCAAUCUCUGAUUUGCAGUCGCCGCCGUCCCUAUCCUACUCCGGCAACAUCUCCUACGUCAGAGCCGCCGUCGAUUUCGACACCUCCUCAAGUCGCCAUCGUCCUUUUGUGUAAACCCUAAAUCCCAAUCUCAACUGUUUGGCUUCUUCUUCGGGUAUGAGAAAGUAUCCUCAUCGUCUGUAUCAGGUUGGAAAAACCAAAAUUCAGAAUAGGAGCAUGAACCAUUGUUGUUAUCUGGCCAACAUUCAAACGGUGAAAGAAGCUGUUUGAGAAGAUGUUUGGUCUGAGUUGAGGGAAUCAGCUAUUGGAGUUAUUGUGAAUUGGAGUUAUUGUGAAGCUGAAAGAGCUGAAUUAUAUUUGGUCUGCGAAAGUUGUUCACCAUUUCCUUGCCAAUCAAUUGGCAAUCGAGAGCAGUCAUGAGAAUUAUACCGGCAGUGCUGAACAAGAUGCUGCCUGCUACAUCGAGAGAGAAAAAGGAUGAACAGUUCACUUAUCGUAGGCACAAGAAGAUCUCCAAAAUGAGAACCCGGGAGAUUGUGGUGUGUACUCUUUAAUGUACAUUGAAUGUCUAACUCUUGGACGUAACUUUGUAGGCUUGAAUGAUCAGAUUAUAACACCACUGCGACUGAAGUUGGCGGCUGAUAUUUAUGAGGAGGUGACUGAGACAGCUGAAUAAAUUGGUCUUCUGUUUUUUUUUGUUGAAUGAUUGAUGAACUUGCUGGUUUUUUGCUUUAGACGGAUGUGUAACUUGCUGGUUUUUGGCUUUAGACAGAUGUAUAACUUGGUGGUUUUGGCUUAUGAAUGACUGAUGUAUAACUUGCUGGUUUUCGGCUUAUGAAUGAUAGAUGUAUAAUUUACUAGUUUA